rnacentral:rRNA from 1 species
UCCUGGCUCAGGACGAACGCUGGCGGCGUGCUUAACACAUGCAAGUCGAACGGUAAGGCCCCUUUUUUUGGGGUGUACGAGUGGCGAACGGGUGAGUAACACGUGAGUAACCUGCCCCAGACUUUGGGAUAACAGUUGGAAACGAUUGCUAAUACUGGAUAUGAGCUGCUGCCGCAUGGUGGUGGUUUGAAAGUUCCGGCGGUUUGGGAUGGGCUCGCGGCCUAUCAGCUUGUUGGUGAGGUGAUGGCUUACCAAGGCUUCGACGGGUAGCCGGCCUGAGAGGGCGACCGGCCACAUUGGGACUGAGAUACGGCCCAAACUCCUACGGGAGGCAGCAGUGGGGAAUAUUGCACAAUGGACGGAAGUCUGAUGCAGCAACGCCGCGUGCGGGAUGACGGCCUUCGGGUUGUAAACCGCUUUCAUCCAUGACGAAGCUUUUGUGACGGUAGUGGGUAAAGAAGCACCGGCUAACUACGUGCCAGCAGCCGCGGUGAUACGUAGGGUGCGAGCGUUGUCCGGAUUUAUUGGGCGUAAAGAGCUUGUAGGCGGUUUGUCGCGUCGGGAGUGAAAACUCGGAGCUUAACUUUGAGCUUGCUUUCGAUACGGGCUGACUUGAGGGAGGUAGGGGAGAAUGGAAUUCCUGGUGGAGCGGUGGAAUGCGCAGAUAUCAGGAGGAACACCGGUGGCGAAGGCGGUUCUCUGGACCUUUCCUGACGCUGAGAAGCGAAAGCGUGGGGAGCGAACAGGCUUAGAUACCCUGGUAGUCCACGCCGUAAACGGUGGGUACUAGGUGUGGGGGACAUUCCACGUUCUCCGUGCCGUAGCUAACGCAUUAAGUACCCCGCCUGGGGAGUACGGCCGCAAGGCUAAAACUCAAAGGAAUUGAC